ACCGGAAGUGAUAAAUAAUGGAAGACCGAUGCCGGAGCUAAAAGAUUUGCUUCAAACGACAGGACAGAAGAUAAGCUCUUUUCAAACGGAGUGGUACAUCGGAAAAAAACGCCUUUUCCGCUUUCCCUGCCUUUUGUUCUCAACGAAUCACAAUGUCUGGACUACAACGGGAUUUUGUGACUUAAAAAUAUACCAAGAAGCCUCAGCAGACAUGAACUUCAACUACUCACAUUCAAAGCCAAAUUGCUUUUAAAAAUUUUUGGAAGCGCAAGGAUAGAUUUGGCUUUGAACGAACAGCGGAGACUAAAUAUUAUCAUCCACAACGCUAAGAAGUAUACGAGACAACGGAUGCCACAAACAAAGCCCAGAUCUGUCAUUUUGCGUUAUGUGGCGUGAAGUGAGCUGUCCCGUGAAGUAAAGACACCACAUUUGUCCCACCUUUCACACAGAGACUGCAGAUUAACUUCCCCUCGCUGACUGAAUAGAGCUC